rnacentral:rRNA from 1 species
GAUGAACGCUGGCGGCGUGCUUAACACAUGCAAGUCGAACGAGAAGUGGAGACGGACACCUUCGGGCGGAAGACUUUAUUUCGAGUGGCGGACGGGUGAGUAACGCGUGGGUAACCUGCCUCAUACAGGGGGAUAACAGUUGGAAACGACUGUUAAUACCGCAUAAGACCACAGCACCGCAUGGUGCGGGGGUAGAAACUCCGGUGGUAUGAGAUGGACCCGCGUUCGAUUAGCCAGUUGGCGGGGUAACGGCCCACCAAAGCGACGAUCGAUAGCCGAUCUGAGAGGAUGACCGGCCACAUUGGGACUGAGACACGGCCCAAACUCCUACGGGAGGCAGCAGUGGGGAAUAUUGCACAAUGGGGGAAACCCUGAUGCAGCGACGCCGCGUGAGUGAAGAAGUAUUUCGGUAUGUAAAGCUCUAUCAGCAGGGAAGAAAAUGACGGUACCUGAGUAAGAAGCCCCGGCUAACUACGUG